AGUGUGCUACACCACUGAAGAAAAAUUAUUCUGUGUCCUUCAGUGGCCACCUGUCACCAAUAGCUCCUCAGGCAGGGAUCCGGACUUGUGGAGAUGAAGUUUACACCAUACCAGGACAGGCCUACAGCAUUCAGAACCCAGGACUCCUACUCCCUCACUAUUGGCAGUCUUUGUAUUCAAGAGCCUGGACAGACACCAGUGGAUAGAUGUGGAGUCUGGGAUGUGAGAGAUGAGAGUGACGCUGAACUUCCUUGAUGGCGUCCUAGUUGAUGAAGGUUGCUCACAAACUUCCCUCACCCUAGUCUUAGGAAGAGAUCACAAACCCCAUCAUCUGGAUGAAGAAAAUCCAAACAGCAACAGGGCAGAAGCCAUAACGAUGAUGUGACGUCCAUGGCAAUGGUGAUGAUGUCAGCGGCAGCCAUGGCAACCACAGCUAAUAUCCAGUGGGAGUUCUGGAGCACACAUCUCCUUGUCUGAAUGAAAUAUACCCAAAAUAAUGGACGCUACAAAUUUUUUCACUAUGAUAAAUGGACUUGGGCAGGCAUGUCUAUGUGCUACAAGAAAUCAGAUCUUUGUUUUAAGAUUUCAGUUAUACCUAAGAUGAGAGAUGACAUGAUGGUGUUUUUGAUAGAAAACCCAAUCCUGCCAGGAUGGCAGUCCUGCUCAGAGAAAUCUACAGAAUCAAAGGAACCUCCA